rnacentral:tRNA from 1 species
GUCUCUGUGGCCGCAAUGGGUCAGUGCAUCUGGCUGUUAACCAGAAGGUUGGUGGUUUGAGCCCACCCAGGGACA